rnacentral:rRNA from 1 species
UACAGAGGUCUCAAGCGUUGUUCGGAUUCAUUGGGCGUAAAGGGUGCGUAGGUGGCGGGGUUAGUCAGGUGUGAAAAUCUCGGGGCUCAACCCCGAAACUGCACUUGAUACUGCCUUGCUCGAGUACUGGAGAGGAGAUUGGAAUUUACGGUGUAGCAGUGAAAUGCGUAGAUAUCGUAAGGAAGACCAGUGGCGAAGGCGAAUCUCUGGACAGUUACUAACACUGAGGCACGAAGGCCAGGGGAGCAAACGGG